AGCUUCUUUACAGUGUUGCCUUGUGGCAUGGAGAUCAAGCAGCAUUGUACAGGGCUAUCA
ensembl:miRNA dre-mir-107 microRNA 107